rnacentral:rRNA from 1 species
CGAAAGCCUGACGGAGCAAUACCGCGUGUGGGAGGACGCUUUUUGGAGUGUAAACCACUUUUAUUAGGGAAGAAGAACUGACGGUACCUAAUGAAUCAGCAUCGGCUAACUCCGUGCCAGCAGCCGCGGUAAUACGGGGGAUGCAAGCGUUAUCCGGAAUUAUUGGGCGUAAAGCGUCCGUAGGUGGCUUAUCAAGUCUGUUGUCAAAGCGUGCGGCUUAACCGCAUACGGGCGAUGGAAACUGAUGAGCUAGAGCGCGAUAGGGGUCAGGGGAAUUCCCGGUGUAGCGGUGAAAUGCGUAGAUAUCGGGUAGAACACCAGUGGCGAAAGCGCUCUGCUGGACCGGCACUGACACUGAGGGCGAAAGCUAGGGGAGCG